UAGGGAAUCUUCGGCAAUGGACGGAAGUCUGACCGAGCAACGCCGCGUGAGUGAAGAAGGUUUUCGGAUCGUAAAGCUCUGUUGUAAGAGAAGAACGAGUGUGAGAGUGGAAAGUUCACACUGUGACGGUAUCUUACCAGAAAGGGACGGCUAACUACGUGCCAGCAGCCGCGGUAAUACGUAGGUUCCGAGCGUUGUCCGGAUUUAUUGGGCGUAAAGCGAGCGCAGGCGGUUAGAUAAGUCUGAAGUUAAAGGCUGUGGCUUAACCAUAGUAGGCUUUGGAAACUGUUUAACUUGAGUGCAAGAGGGGAGAGUGGAAUUCCAUGUGUAGCGGUGAAAUGCGUAGAUAUAUGGAGGAACACCGGUGGCGAAAGCGGCUCUCUGGCUUGUAACUGACGCUGAGGCUCGAAAGCGUGGGGAGCAAACAGGAUUAGAUACCCUGGUAGUCCACGCCGUAAACGAUGAGUGCUAGGUGUUAGACCCUUUCCGGGGUUUAGUGCCGUAGCUAACGCAUUAAGCACUCCGCCUGGGGAGUACGACCGCAAGGUUG
rnacentral:rRNA from 1 species